UCCAGAUUUGGGACACGAAAUUGAGCAUCGCUGCCACCAUAAAGAAGGCAAGCACUCAGCGCCCACCACAUGCUCGACCAAAUGCUUACAAGGUUCAGCUCUGACCAUCAAUGAGGGGAACCCAGCACAAGUCACGAGAUAAAAGGAAUGAUCUAACAAAAUGGGGCAUUCAUCUGCUGCAUGAUUUUCAGGGAUGAAUAAUGAUUAGUGGCAAAAACAGUGUGUGAGAAAAGGAGAGAAUGAAACCUGCUGCAUCUCUUCAUCUGGAUCACUCAUUGGUUCAACCCAUGCAACUAUUACAUUUAGACAUCUGCCAAAAAUACCUUGACUUGAAAGCUUUCUGUAUGACUAUAUCUAGCUCCUUCAACUGGUUGUGCAUCACGUUUGAAUACUCCUUGAUGUGGAUCUGUAGCAGUUUGGUCCUUCCUUCUCUCUGUGUUUGCUGCGUUUGACAAAGGAUCAUACUCUGAUCUACAACUCAUUUGUAUAUCAAAGUGGAUUGGUCUAGCAACUGUAGAAGUAGGACCUAGGUAGCAGGAUUAACUUCUAGCUUACCUCCUGGAAAUUUGCUUUCCUGUCAGUUGAUGCUAACUUGUAUUUCCUUUACUGUAGACUGCAUCUAAAAACUGAUUGCUUCUUGGUGUGAUAAUAUGUGAAUGAUUAUUUUUACCUAUGCCAUUUUGUAUUUCAGGCUAUCAUCCCAUCGUCAUGACAGGCCAAACAAGGAUGAUGAUGAAUUGGAGAGUAUGAAGAAGGACAAGGACACUAAAGCUCACCUGGACAACUCUUGUCUUUGCACCUACAGCCUUGCUGGCAGCCAAGUCUAUGAUCUGGCCAAGAAUCAUUCAGAUCCAUAACUAGAUCAUACUACAGAGGGCGGCGUUGGUGCUCUUUUGGUCUACGAUAUCACCAGACUUUCAAUCACCUCGUGAGCUGUCCGGAGGAUGUGAGGCAGCACGCCAACGCCAACAUGACGAUAAUGCUGAUUGGGAACAAAUGUGAUCUGUCUCACAGGCGUGCAGUUUGCAAACGAACAUGGCCUGAUCUUCAUGGAGGCAUCUGCAAAAAGCACACAGAACAUCGAGGAGGUCAUGCUUGGUUCUGGUGUGUUGGACAUAUGUGCAGUUAAGAACAUUCAAAAUUUUCUCAUCUGGAUAUUUAAACGAAGGCAUUUGUUAAGACUGCUGCAGCAUUCUACAAGAAAAUUUCAUUACUUUUCCUCUGCUUAGGAAAAAACAUAAUAAGCCCCUUCGAUGUUACUUUAAGCAUCAUUUACGCAUAUACUCAUGUACCUUCUGACUUCUGUUCCAUGUUUACUACAUACGGAUUGAAAUCUUACGAGGUCCAUUGAAGCAUAA